UGGUCGGAAGGCGCCCCCUGGGAAGGGUGCCAGCAUGGACCGUCCCCCCUGUUUCAAGGAUGCACCCCGUGGCCCCGGCGGUGGUUGUU
rfam:Pseudoruegeria sp. SK021 NODE_11_length_102635_cov_56.8931, whole genome shotgun sequence.